rnacentral:rRNA from 1 species
GAUGAACGCUGGCGGCGUGCCUAAUACAUGCAAGUCGAGCGAACGGACGAGAAGCUUGCUUUUCUGAUGUUAGCGGCGGACGGGUGAGUAACACGUGGAUAACCUACCUAUAAGACUGGGAUAACUUCGGGAAACCGGAGCUAAUACCGGAUAAUAUUUUGAACCGCAUGGUUCAAAAGUGAAAGACGGUCUUGCUGUCACUUAUAGAUGGAUCCGCGCUGCAUUAGCUAGUUGGUAAGGUACCGGCUUACCAAGGCAACGAUGCAUAGCCGACCUGAGAGGGUGAUCGGCCACACUGGAACGGAGACACGGUCCAGACUCCUACGGGAGGCAGCAGUAGGGAAUCUUCCGCAAUGGGCGAAAGCCUGACGGAGCAACGCCGCGUGAGUGAUGAAGGUCUUCGGAUCGUAAAACUCUGUUAUUAGGGAAGAACAGAUGUGUAAGUAACUGUGCACAUCUUGACGGUACCUAAUCAGAAAGCCACGGCUAACUACGUG